GCUUUAUUGAGGCCGUCGCAGCUGAGAUCCCGUGGUUUUGAGUUCUUCACGUUUGAGAUUAAUCUGGAGUUUUCAGGUACGUUUGUAGCAGCUGAUAUUAAAGCCGUCGCAGCUGGUAUGCCAAGGUUUGCGAUUAAUCUAGAGGUACCAGUUUGCGAUUAGUCUGGAGGUACGUUUGUAGCAGCUAAUAUUAAGGCCAUCGCUGCUGGGAUGCCGUGGCUUUGGAUUCCACAAGUUUGCGAUUAAUCUGGAGGUGCGUUGGGUGCAGCUAAUGUUAUAUCAGUCGAUUAUAGUUUGUAGCUUGUAUCUUAAUAAAUUAUUAAUUAAUUGUAAAUAAAUGUAUUUUGGUUUUAA